rnacentral:tRNA from 1 species
AGGAACUUAGGAUUAUCUAAACCGUGGGCCUUCAAAGCCUCCAAAAAGAGCACUACCUCUUAGCUCCUG